GGAUAUGAGGGUGAUCUGGCUGUAACAUCUGUCACCAUAUUGAUUGCCAGGGUUGACUCAGCUGAUCUGGCUGGCUGGCGGGUGUCCCCUUCCCCCCUCACCUCUCCAUGUGCAGCCUCCUGAAGCUUUGGGCUCAAUGGAAGAAGAUGACCACCUCCCACCAUAGAAGAAAACUGGAAAGGCCAUACCAGUAGCUGAACUCUCCUGCUAGAACCGCCAAAUAAACACUUUGUCUAACUUAUUUAUUAGUUUAAACAGUUUUAGAGUGAAUGGGGAAGCACUAAGGUUUUUUACAUAUAAGAGCAUGUCAAAGAGCAAUCCUGUUACUUCUU
rfam:Fukomys damarensis contig118354, whole genome shotgun sequence.